GAUGAACGCUGGCGGCGUGCCUAAUACAUGCAAGUCGAGCGAACGGACGAGAAGCUUGCUUUUCUGAUGUUAGCGGCGGACGGGUGAGUAACACGUGGAUAACCUACCUAUAAGACUGGGAUAACUUCGGGAAACCGGAGCUAAUACCGGAUAAUAUUUUGAACCGCAUGGUUCAAAAGUGAAAGACGGUCUUGCUGUCACUUAUAGAUGGAUCCGCGCUGCAUUAGCUAGUUGGUAAGGUAACGGCUUACCAAGGCAACGAUGCAUAGCCGAUCUGAGAGGGUGAUCGGCCACACUGGAACUGAGACACGGUCCAGACUCCUACGGGAGGCAGCAGUAGGGAAUCUUCCGCAAUGGGCGAAAGCCUGACGGAGCAACGCCGCGUGAGUGAUGAAGGUCUUCGGAUCGUAAAACGCUGUUAUUAGGGAAGAACAUAUGUGUAAGUAACUGUGCACAUCUUGACGGUACCUAAUCAGAAAGCCACGGCUAACUACGU
rnacentral:rRNA from 1 species